rnacentral:ncRNA from 2 species
UCGUGCAAUGGACUCAAUUUCGA